rnacentral:ncRNA from 1 species
AAAGGUUUGGUCCUGGCCUUAUUAUUAAUUGUUAGUAAGCUUAUACAUGCAAGUAUCCGCCAACCUGUGAAAAUGCCCUUUUACUCGCUCAAUACGAACGAUCCCGAAGGAGCUGGUAUCAAGCUCACUCUACGUAGCUCAAGACACCUUGCUCAGCCACACCCCCACGGGAUACAGCAGUAAUAAAAAUUAAGCAAUAAACGAAAGUUUGACUAAGCUAUACUGAUAGAGAGUUGGUCAAUCUCGUGCCAGCCACCGCGGUCAUACGAUUAACUCAAAUUAAUAACACCCGGCGUAAAGUGUGGUUAAAGUUGAACGAUAACAAUAAAGUUAAAUCACACCUCAGCUGUAAAAAGCCAAAGGUCUGUAAUAAAUAAACUACUAAAGUGACUUUACUUCACAUAUGAACCCACGAUAGCUAAGAUACAAACUGGGAUUAGAUACCCCACUAUGCUUAGCCUUAAACCACGAUAUUUAGUAACAAAAACAUCCGCCAGAGAACUACAAGCCAUAGCUUAAAACUCAAAGGACUUGGCGGUGCUUUAUACCCCCUAGAGGAGCCUGUUACAUAACCGAUAAACCCCGAUAAACCACACCAUCACUUGCUAAAUCAGUCUAUAUACCGCCAUCUUCAGCAAACCCUUAAAAGGAUGAACAGUAAGCACAAGCGUAAACACAAAAACGUUAGGUCAAGGUGUAACCUAUGUGAUGGGGUAUAAUGGGCUACAUUUUCUCAUUAGAAUAUUUACGGACUUCUAUCUGAAAGGCUAGAACAAAGGAGGAUUUAGCAGUAAAUCAGGAAUAGAGAGCCUGAUUGAACUAGGCCAUGAAGCACGCACACACCGCCCGUCACCCUCCUCAAAUAUUAACAACCUAAAUCCUAUUUUACUGAUAUAAGUAUGAGAGGAGACAAGUCGUAACAAGGUAAGCAUACUGGAAAGUGUGCUUGGAUUAUU